AUGCAUCACACACCUCAUGUGGAUCUAGCUUUCAACAGCGUAGAACACAUUAUGAGAGAUGUUGAAGGGGGCUGGUUGCUCCGUUAUAUGCAUGCUAAUGGGGCAGGUAUGUUUCUCAUUGUGGUUCACCUUCAUAUUUUUCGUGGUCUAUAUCAUGCGAGUUAUAGCAGUCCUAGGGAAUUUGUUCGGUGUCUCGGAGUUGUCAUAUUCCUAUUAAUGAUUGUGACAGCUUUUAUAGGAUACGUACCACCUUGGGGUCAGAUGAGCUUUUGGGGAGCAACAGUAAUUACAAGCUUAGCUAGCGCCAUACCAGUAGUAGGAGAUACCAUAGUGACUUGGCUUUGGGGUGGUUUCUCCGUGGACAAUGCCACCUUAAAUCGUUUUUUUAGUCUCCAUCAUUUACUCCCCCUUAUUUUAGUAGGCGCCAGUCUUCUUCAUCUGGCCGCAUUGCAUCAAUAUGGAUCAAAUAAUCCAUUGGGUGUACAUUCUGAGAUGGAUAAAAUUGCUUCUUACCCUUAUUUUUAUGUAAAGGAUCUUGUAGGUCGAGUAGUUUCUGCUAUCCUUUUUUCCAUUUGGAUUUUUUUUGCUCCUAAUGUUUUGGGGCAUCCCGACAAUUAUAUACCUGCUAAUCCGAUGCCCACCCUGCCUCAUAUUGUGCCGGAAUGGUAUUUCCUACCGAUCCAUGCCAUUCUUCACAGUAUACCUGACAAAGUGGGAGGUGUAGCCGCAAUAGCACCAGUUUUUAUAUCUCUCUUGGCUUUACCUUUUUUUUAA
rnacentral:rRNA from 1 species